rnacentral:siRNA from 1 species
UAGAUAGUCUAAGUCAUGCUU